rnacentral:rRNA from 1 species
UACGGAGGGUGCGAGCGUUGUCCGGAAUCACUGGGCGUAAAGGGCGCGUAGGCGGCUCGUGAAGUCAGUGGUGAAAGCCCAGGGCUCAACUCUGGGUCGGCCACUGAUACUCGCGAGCUCGAGUUCGGGAGAGGAGAGUGGAAUUCCCAGUGUAGAGGUGAAAUUCGUAGAUAUUGGGAAGAACACCGGUGGCGAAGGCGGCUCUCUGGACCGACACUGACGCUGAGGCGCGAAAGCGUGGGAGCAACAGG